rnacentral:rRNA from 1 species
AUACGGAGGGUCCAAGCGUUGUUCGGAUUUAUUGGGCGUAAAGCGAGUGUAGGCGGUUUGACAAGUCGGAUGUGAAAUCCCAGGGCCCAACCCUGGAACUGCAUCCGAUACUGUUAGGCUAGAGUCCCGGAGAGGGUGGCGGAAUUCCCGGUGUAGGGGUGAAAUCCGUAGAUAUCGGGAGGAACACCAGUGGCGAAGGCGGCCACCUGGACGGUGACUGACGCUGAGACUCGAAAGCGUGGGUAGCAAACAGGAUUAGAAACCCCGGUAGUCC